UACAGAGGGUGCGAGCGUUGUCCGGAAUCACUGGGCGUAAAGGGCGCGUAGGUGGUUGGAUAAGCGUGUGGUGAAAGCCCAGGGCUCAACCCUGGGAUGCCGGUGGAAACUGUCGGGCUAGAGUCCGGAAGAGGAGUGUGGAAUUCCCGGUGUAGCGGUGAAAUGCGCAGAUAUCGGGAGGAACACCCGUAGCGAAGGCGGCACUCUGGGCCGGAACUGACGCUGAGGAGCGAAAGCGUGGGGAGCAAACAGG
rnacentral:rRNA from 1 species